rnacentral:rRNA from 1 species
GCAGACCUACGGGGCGCAGCAGUGAGGAAUAUUGGUCAAUGGGCGGGAGCCUGAACCAGCCAAGUCGCGUGAAGGAAGAAGGUACUUAGUAUUGUAAACUUCUUUUGUCGGGGAACAAAGGCGGAGACGCGUCUCCGGAUGAGUGUACCCGAAGAAAAAGCAUCGGCUAACUCCGUGCCAGCGGCCGCGGUAAUACGGAGGAUGCGAGCGUUAUCCGGAUUUAUUGGGUUUAAUGGGUGCGCAGGCGGGAGAUCAAGUCAGCGGUGACAUGUCGGGGCUCCACC